rnacentral:rRNA from 1 species
UCAAGCGACUAAGUGUAUGUGGUGGAUGCCUUGGCGAUCACAGGCGAUGAAGGACCCGGCAGCCUGGGAAAAGCCGUGGGGAGCUGGCAAGCAAGCUUUGAUCCACGGAUGUCCGAAUGAGGAAACUCACUUCCUUCGGGAAGUAUCAAUGAGUGAAUACAUAGCUCAUUGAGGCGAACGCAGUGAACUGAAACAUCUAAGUAACUGCAGGAACAGAAAUCAACCGAGAUUCUGAAAGUAGCGGCGAGCGAAAUUGGAAGAGCCUGCAAGCGUUAGCAGAUUCGAUACCGGAACGGUCUGGAAAGGCCGGCUACAGAGGGUGACAGCCCCGUACGGGAAAUUGGAUCUGUGAGACUAGGCUUGCGACAAGUAGGGCGGGACACGAGAAAUCCUGUCUGAAGAUGGGGGGACCAUCCUCCAAGGCUAAAUACUCGUGAUCGACCGAUAGUGAACCAGUACUGUGAAGGAAAGGUAAAAAGAACCCCGGGAGGGGAGUGAAAUAGAUCCUGAAACCGCAUACAUACAAACAGUAGGAGCCCGCAAGGGUGACUGCGUACCUUUUGCAUAAUGGGUCAGCGACUUACGUUCAAUGGCAAGCUUAACCGGAUAGGGGAGGCGCAGCGAAAGCGAGUCCGAACAGGGCGAAAUUCAGUCGUUGGGCGUAGACCCGAAACCAGAUGAUCUAUCCAUGGUCAGGCUGAAGGUGUGGUAACACACACUGGAGGGCCGAACCGACUAGUGUUGCAAAAUUAGCGGAUGAACUGUGGAUAGGGGUGAAAGGCUAAACAAAUCUGGAGAUAGCUGGUUCUCCCCGAAAACUAUUGAGGUAGUGCCUCGUGUAUGGCUCCAGGGGGUAGAGCACUGUUAUGGCUAGGGGGACAUGGCGUCUUACCAAACCAUGGCAAACUCCGAAUACUUGGAAGUUUGAGCACGGGAGACAGAGCACCGGGUGCUAACGUCCGGACUCAAAAGGGAAACAACCCAGACCGCCGGCUAAGGUCCCUAAUAUCGGCUAAGUGGAAAACGAAGUGGGAAGGCUAAGACAGUCAGGAAGUUGGCUUAGAAGCAGCCAUCCUUCAAAGAAAGCGUAAUAGCUCACUGAUCGAGUCUUCCUGCGCGGAAGAUGUAACGGGGCUAAGUCGAUAACCGAAGCCGCGGAUUCAACUGUAAAGGUUGAGUGGUAGGGGAGCGUUCCGUAAGCCUGAGAAGGCGGACCCGCGAGGGCCGCUGGAGGUAUCGGAAGUGCGAAUGCUGACAUGAGUAACGUUAAAGCGGGUGAAAAGCCCGCUCGCCGUAAGCCCAAGGUUUCCUGCUCUACGUUCAUCGGAGCAGGGUGAGUCGGCCCCUAAGGCGAGGCUGAGAAGCAUAGCUGAUGGGAACCAGGUUAAUAAUCCUGGACCGAUUGCAGGUGCGAAGGAGGGACGGAGUGCUGAAGGUCAUCCGGGUGUUGGAUAUCCCGGUUUGCGAGCGUAGGAAGCCGGCAGGCAAAUCCGCCGGCGAAUUUCCGAGGCGAAGCAUCGAGGCUGGUUUCAGCUGAAGUGACUGAAUGGACUUCCAGGAAAAGCUUCUAAGCAUCAGCCUGCAAUUGACCGUACCGCAAACCGACACUGGUGGGCGAGCUGAAUAUGCUCAGGCGCUUGAGAGAACUCAGGAGAAGGAACUCGGCAAAUUGACACCGUAACUUCGGGAUAAGGUGUGCCUUUGUAGUGUGAAGGGAGAAACGCCCCGAGCAUGAAGAGGUCUCAGAGAAUUGGUGGCUGCAACUGUUUACUAAAAACACAGCACUCUGCAAAGACGAAAGUCGACGUAUAGGGUGUGAUGCCUGCCCGGUGCUGGAAGAUUAAUUGAUGGGCUGCAAGGUCCUGAUCGAAGUCCCAGUAAACGGCGGCCGUAACUAUAACGGUCCUAAGGUAGCGAAAUUCCUUGUC